AGACCGAUAGCGAACAAGUAGAGUGAUCGAAAGAUGAAAAGCACUUUGAAAAGAGAGUUAAAAAGUACGUGAAAUUGUUGAAAGGGAAGCGUUUAUGACCAGACUUGGGCUUGGUUAAUCAUCUGGGGUUCUCCCCAGUGCACUUUUCCAGUCCAGGCCAGCAUCAGUUUUCGCCGGGGGAUAAAGGCUUCGGGAAUGUGGCUCUCUCCGGGGAGUGUUAUAGCCCGUUGCGUAAUACCCUGGCGGGGACUGAGGUUCGCGCAUCUGCAAGGAUGCUGGCGUAAUGGUCAUCAACGACCCGUCUUGAAACACGGACCAAG
rnacentral:rRNA from 2 species